ACCAUAGUCAACUGCUACAAAGGUAAAGGUGAUGCAUUAGAUACAAAUAAUUACAUAGGUAUCAAGUUGUUGGAUCAGGUAAUGAAAGUCACAGAGAGGGUCAUAGCCCAACUAAUUAGGGAGAGAGUCAGUUUAGAUGAGAUGCAGUUUGGGUUCAUGCCAGG